rnacentral:lncRNA from 1 species
GAGAGAAGGGUUCUUACAAUUUCACCCCCUACGUUAACAACCACGACAUGAACGUCCUUAAUCUUUCCAAUGUUGAAUCUUCUUCCUAAUUAAUCAAAAACCAGAAAGUUAAAAUUAUUGCAAUAUCAAGCAGAUCAAUAUACAUAUGUAUACAUACAUACAUACAUACAUACGUAUAUAUACAUAUAUAUUGUUUUUUCUUAUUAUUAUAUUUAAUUAAGGAUAACCCGCCCUAAUUUAAGUAAUCAAUUAAGAGUGUCCAUUGCAAAAAAGGAUUUACCGACUAAGUCAAUGUAAGGUACAUGUGUG